CCCCUGUGAACAUACCUUAAUGUUGCCUCGGCGGAUCAGCCCGCGCCCCGUAAAACGGGACGGCCCGCCAGAGGACCCAAACUCUAAUGUUUCUUAUUGUAACUUCUGAGUAAAACAAACAAAUAAAUCAAAACUUUCAACAACGGAUCUCUUGGUUCUGGCAUCGAUGAAGAACGCAGCAAAAUGCGAUAAGUAAUGUGAAUUGCAGAAUUCAGUGAAUCAUCGAAUCUUUGAACGCACAUUGCGCCCGCUGGUAUUCCGGCGGGCAUGCCUGUUCGAGCGUCAUUUCAACCCUCAAGCCCCCGGGUUUGGUGUUGGGGAUCGGCUCUGCCCUUCUGGGCGGUGCCGCCCCCGAAAUACAUUGGCGGUCUCGCUGCAGCCUCCAUUGCGUAGUAGCUAACACCUCGCAACUGGAACGCGGCGCGGCCAUGCCGUAAAACCCCAACUUCUGAAUGUUGACCUCGGAUCAGGUAGGAAUACCCGCUGAACUUAA
rnacentral:rRNA from 1 species